CUCGUUCCUGACCUUCUUAAGGACCUCCGCGUCAGCGCGCACCUCAACCUACCUUGGACCACAAGCUCUUGGGCGGGAACGUGUUAGCUACUGUGGCCUAGCUUUCUGGCUUUUAGCAACAUUCAUGUGGGGCCCUGACUGUCGCUACAGGAAGACCCUUGACCUUCACUCAUCUACCAGGACUGCAGACGGCAUUUCAAGCCUUUGACGCAAUAUGGCCAUCCUGGCUGAGUGCUGCAAAAGAAGCCAGGGGAGCCGCAACUUGCCAGCUAUGUCCCCCCCCCCGCUGCUUUCGCUCUCAUCUUUCUUACUGUGAAGAUUGGCUCCACAAGGCCCAUUUGAAGAUGGAAACGCACUUUCAUGGAGAGUUCAAAGCUGGUGAUCAAAUCGUCAGUGUUCUCUGGAAUAAAUGGACAUUUGUUUCAUUUUAGCUUUUUAAUACAGUCAUGUUCUCUUUUUUUUGGUUGCACAUCUUACAAACAUUUUUGCACUGUUGCGUUUUCUUGUGCUUUGACUCGGCCGCUUUCAUCAGUUACUGCUACAUGUAGCAUCAUUUUAUAGCAAUAUGGCAUCCAGAAUGACAUUAGAAACCAUGUCAGACUACCUCCAUUUGUCUAAUAUGCUUAGUUUCCAUCUCAGGUAACAUUAUUCAGUGUUGUGUGGAGUACCUGAACACUGUAACACACUUCCAUAUUUAUUGCAAUGUUUUAAAACAGACUGCUUAACACCCCUCAGGGGAUGCUCAUAAUCCUCAUAAUGUUUCCUAUGUUUUUGUCAGUUAAUGUCACAUUUUUAUUGGAUAAAUCACCAACCUUGGAUUUCCCACCUGGGGAAAUAAAAAAAAUGUGUAGCGACAGUCUAGAAAUGAAGUAAUGAAUCCAAAUGUGGGUGGCAUGGAAGAGUGCACCUUAUGUCUAUGAGAGGUUUAUGGAGCAAAGAGAUGUGAAAAGGUGCAUUAAAUGAGAGAUGAACACA